UUGAGGCAACCAAGAGGAUCAAGCGAGACAGCAUAUGUUGGGAAGUCGAGCUUGUGGAAGCGGAGCAUGCCGGAACCUAAACCUAAGCCAAGGUAAUGGAUAGGCAGGGGCGAGGGAGGUGAUGGGCAGGGUGGAUCCAUAGAUGGGUUGUGGAAGGGGGCACGGCCAUACUGGUGUAAGGAAUCAGUUGGUGGCUGGAGGCGGUCAAGGCGGCAGAGAUCUGCGCCUGGUGAUGGUAGAGCUGUUGUUAGUAGGUGGGCGACAAAAUUGGGGCGGGAUUUGGGGUAGGAUUUGAGCUGUAAGGUGGGGGUGCGAAGUGGCCCAAAUUGAUGUUAGGAGGCAGCUAGCGAGUAAGGAGAUGGCUAGAGGUGGUAAAAGGGGAAUGGUUGCUGGUGGUGGUUAGCAGGACUUAGCACAGGGUUGUGUUGUGACAGCAAGCAGCCGGUUGAUGGAAGGAAAGCGAGGGGUGGUUGGGGUGGGCAAUCAGUGAUUCCCCGCUCGAGAAGGGUUGGCGAGGGGGAGCACUAGGGGCACAUUGUCGCCGGGGAGGAGGGCCUGGGACAGGGAGGUAGCGUAAUGGAUGGCCGCUGCAGCCGUGGGAUCUAGUGCCGCGGGCAAGGCUGCAGCCGUUGCUCGAGGGCCGUCACUAGCCCGGCAAGGAGCGUCUUGUCCUCUGCUCGUUGGCGCGUGAAGACCUCCAAUUGCUUCAUGAUGCUCUUCAUCUGCUCCACAGCCUCGAUCUCGAUUUCUUUGCCCACCAUCGUAGAUGGCUCAGGUACCAAACUGGAAUAAUCUACUGAUGACAUAACCCUAAUUAUUGAAAAGUAGAUGAAAGUAGCAACACUAUUUUUCUUUGCUUGCUUUAUUUGCAGGGUCGGCCCUUUUAUACAGUAGACAAGAGUUGACCGACAAGCCGGUACGUAUAUUCAAACUCUAAUACGAUCUAAACUGAUUGGACUAUUUCCUAAGUCCUAACAAACUUGCUUAAUCAACCAGGACUCUAAGGGAUAAGACUCCAUCAUUUGAUGAGCUAGCCCACAUAACAGAGUCAAAUUCCAGUAAUUAUGAAGAACCCUUAAUUAAUAGUAAAAAUAUAUAGACUCCAUGAUCACAACUAUCUGUAGACCGUGUAAAUUAACCCAUUCAAACGACACUAGUACAGCCUACAAGUAUCAAGUUCUGCCCCUGACACGGCGUUUAACGCAGGUAGCUAGCAUACUAAAAAAUGCCAUGCAAACCAGAUCUUGUGAUACAAAUGCCACAUAUUUUCCAAUAGUUUCAGAGUGAAGGUGCUUUCAAGUAUAAGAAUGAUCCAGAACGCAUGCUUCUGGAUGCAAUGAGGAAGCAAACAGAACUCUUGAUUAAUAAUAGCAAGACAGAAAUUUUCACAUAAGAAAUUAUAAUCUUAGGAGUAUAAUAAUUAUUACUAAGAUCCAUCCUACUUGCUUGUCAGCAUAUGGACAACCCAUGUGACGCAACUGUAAUUGAAAACCUCAUUCUGAGCACCCCCAUAAGCAAUGUAGUAUAGAGAUAAAAUGGUAAUUACGUAUUCUAUCAGGAUAUGAGAAACAGAACAUGAUCCUAGCUAUGAGCGCAUAUCACGGACUCAGCGAUCUCGGGAAAAAUUGAUGACCAUCUGGGCAAAAUGCACCUCCAAGAUUACAAUGAUUCAUCAGUAAUAUCUUAAAUUCGUAAAUAAAAAGCGCAGCCUUUUGGCAUGUGCAUCAGUAAAUUGUAGUGUACCUGCAGCUGAGACUGCACAAGGUAGGCACCCAGUUUCUUCGCUGAUGGAUCAUUCGGCUUGCUGCCGGCCGAUAGCGACAGCGACUUGACAAUGGGAAGGAACACCCCUCCAGCCCUCGCCGUGGUGCUGGGCAUGGCCGGCGCGAUGCAUGCCUCACUGAUGGUGAGACCGUAGGAUAGGCCCAGAGUGCUUCCACCCAACCACUUGACGAAGUAGGUGGCAACGCGGUCGCCGAGGCCGGUCUUGACGAACCCCCGUGCAAAGAAGAAGGAGAUGACGAUGAGCCAGAUGACCUCGUUGGUGAACGCCCCGAACGCCGCGGUGAAGGGGAGCGUACCCGUGGCCACGGUAGCAGUGAGGCCGAGGAAUGCCCACGCGCCGACGGGGAGCGGGCCGAGGACGAGCCCUGCGAUGGUGGAGAGAAAGAUGGAGAGGAGCUGCCACGCCUGCGGAGUCACCUCGGGGGGCCGCGGCGCCAGGAAUCGCACUGCGAGACCGACCGCGAUGGAGGCGAUGAGGGGGAGCAGCUUCGCGCCGGCCGAGGCCGCGGCGGGGGCCGGCGCCGGUGCGGGCUCAGUGUUGGGGCUUGAAGCUUGGGUGGCGGACGCGGAGGCCAGGAGAGGAUGGAGGUGGCGGCGAGGGGCGAGGGAGAUGUGAGGGGAGAUGGGGCGGCAGAGGGAGAGAGAACUAGUGGAGGGCUGCAGCUGGAGAUGGCGGCGGCGUAGGUGGUUGUGAGGAGUGGGGAGGGGGAGAGCCGGGCGGUGGGACACCGCGAGGUGUAGGCGCUCCAUUGGCACGCGGCGGUGCACGGCGGCGCGAGCGGCCGAGCGGAGGAAGCGGGGGUCGGAUACUGGUGGCUGCGGCCUUCGGAGAGCUACGGGUGAGAUUGGUCU
rnacentral:lncRNA from 1 species